rnacentral:rRNA from 1 species
GAUGAACGCUGGCGGCGUGCCUAAUACAUGCAAGUCGAGCGAACAGACGAGGAGCUUGCUCCUCUGACGUUAGCGGCGGACGGGUGAGUAACACGUGGAUAACCUACCUAUAAGACUGGGAUAACUUCGGGAAACCGGAGCUAAUACCGGAUAAUAUAUUGAACCGCAUGGUUCAAUAGUGAAAGACGGUUUUGCUGUCACUUAUAGAUGGAUCCGCGCCGCAUUAGCUAGUUGGUAAGGUAACGGCUUACCAAGGCAACGAUGCGUAGCCGACCUGAGAGGGUGAUCGGCCACACUGGAACUGAGACACGGUACAGACUCCUACGGGAGGCAGCAGUAGGGAAUCUUCCGCAAUGGGCGAAAGCCUGACGGAGCAACGCCGCGUGAUUGAUGAAGGUCUUCGGAUCGUAAAACUCUGUUAUUAGGGAAGAACAAAUGUGUAAGUAACUAUGCACGUCUUGACGGUACCUAAUCAGAAAGCCACGGCUAACUACGUG